CGAGAGGUUCCGGGUUCGAUCCCCGGUCGGGUCAUGAUGGAAAAUGAUCUUUAUGUGAUUGGGCCGGUUCUUGGAUGUUUAUCUAUAUAUGUAUUUGUUAUAAAAUAUAAGUCUAGAACUAUGAGGCUAGUUAGCAAUUAUUAAUUAUUUAUUUAGCAAUUUAUGGAAAAAAUAUAAUGACGACACGUAGCCUGUUGUCACCCGGAGUAAUAUAAGGAAUCUAAUAACACCUCACACCGUUAUAUAAAAUUCAUAUUAGACUGUCUAUCUGUCACUCUUUCAUAGCUAAACCGCUGCGCUGAUUUUGGGAAAAAAUAUAAAUAGAUAGGUAGAUAUAUAGUUAGAAUAUAAAAAUAGGCUACCGCGGGCGAAGCUGCGCGCAACAGCUAGUGGUGGAAUAAAAACUCACAUAUAUACAAGCAUCUAUCCGAAAAACAUAAUUCUCCUUCAUUUAAACAAUUGUGUAAAACAAGAAACUUAAUUACGACUUUCACAUAGGUAAAUUAAUGCAUCAAGUAUUUAAUUAAAUGUUGCACAAAUCAAUAAUUAAAGAUAACGAUUAUUGUAACAAAGAAAAACUAAUUUUACACAUGUAACAAUUAUGUGUUGCAAAUUAUCAAUAUCGAUAAAAUGGGCGGCGAAAAUAUCGAAUAGGUUUGUUCAAUUUGUGUUCGAAAUUCGAACGAAUAACUUUUUUUUGUUUGGCUGCGACCAAGAAAUAAAAGUUAUUCUUAUAUAUCUAUUGCUAAAGUAUAAUUUAAUGUUUUCCUACGCUGUGGCUUCUUUUGGUAAAUAAAUUACUAGAAUGAAUGUCGGGUGUAUCUUAAUUGUGGCGAUUUGUGUGUCACAGUAUUUUUGGUCUGCUGUUGGACUUAAGCUGUCACUAUCCAACGUAACGUGUCAAUCGUCUCCAAUACUGAAGAAAACAACUCCUUCGAGUAAUACGCCUUUUGCGUCAAAAACAUCUAAUUCAUUAGAUUAUCCGGAGUCAGCAUCAAAUUUCGAGAAUACACUUUCUUCUCCCAUCACUGGAUUUUCACCAAAAUCGUUGUCAUCUACACCAACAUCAUCUGCAAGCUUAUUUAAUAGCGAUUCUUUAAAUACUAAAGUUUUAAGGCGAGGAUCUAGUGGAGUAGACAAUGUAUAUAGGAACAACAAUAUACUAUCGACAAUACGCAAUUCACUGAUUAAACAAAAGGACAAUUUAAUUCCUCCUCAAAGUAUUUCUAUACAAUCUAGUACAAGUAAUGAUAAUUUGUCAUCAAAAAUUGAUGAAUCAUCAACUAAAACUUUAAAUAAAAUGCCACUACAAUUGAAUGUAGGAGACAACAAUAAUUUAGUACUUAGCCAGCAUAAUGUGGAAACUCUAUCAACUAAUGAAGUUCCUUCACUGAGACCGUCAAAACAGUAUAGUGUCCAACAACCUAACGAGAACCAGGAACCAUCGUUGGGUAUUAACCAUAACUUUAAAAAUAACUCACCUGGUCAGGGCGUUAUGGAACCAAAAUUAAUUACUAAACCUCCAAUUAAAGUAUUUAAUAAUCAAGCAAAUAAUUUAACAUCAUCAAAUGCAGGAGUACGUAGAAAUGUAAUAAAUAACGUAGCACAAGAUUCAAAUCCAUUUCAACAAAAUAUUGGACCUAUAAAAUCAGAUCUUUCAACUGACACACAACAAACUGUCAUUGAUGAAAUCUCUACACAUGAUUCUCCAUUGAAUCCAUCUUUUUCGAUUCCUCCGAAUCCACUUAAAAGUAAUAAGCAGCAAAGUAUAGCGUUGAAUCAAGCUAUCAAUUCACUAAAGCAAAACAAUUUACAUUCAUUAUCAUUCAAUAAUUUUCCAAAUAAAAUUUCAUCUGGAGCUAUAUCUGAACCAAAUCUUUCUGUAACAAAACCUUAUAAAUCAUUUGUAGAGACUAAACAAAUAGAUAUAGCAAACAAAAUACCUCCUUCAAUUAAGAAUGGUUUUAUUAGUAAGUUUCAUAAAAAUACGUCAUUACAACAAGUGAAUAAUAAUGGUAAUGAUAAUUCAAAAAAUAAUGUGUUAUCAAAUUUUCCAGUAAAUACUAUUCAGAAUGAAGUACCAUUACAAAAUUACCUGACACAAAAACUAUUAGCAUCAAGAGUGACGCCAGAUACUACUCAAAACUUGCUUCCAACCAGACCCAAUCUAAGACAAAACCAUUUAAUAGGUAAUAAUAAUCAAAAUUUAUUAACCAAUGAUGGUUUUAUUAAUAAUGAAAACUUGCCAACACCCACUCUUUAUAAUAAGCAAAAGUUUCCAAACAAUGCUUACUUAGAAUCAACUUCAUCAGUUCCUGAUUUCUCAAAUGAUGUCACUGCGAUUGAAAAUGGAGUUUCUUUAUUUUCAAAUACGUUAACUAACUCCAUUGCACCUCAACUUAACCAUUUUAAGAAUAUUCCUCAGUUAUCGGCUCCGAUCACUCCCUAUCAUUCUGAAGCAUCUCUUCCACUAUACACAGAUAAGUCAAAUAUUUUACAACAAACUACUCUUCAACUAAAUACUUACCAUUCAAAUAAUGUAAAAAUCCCUUUUGUGCGUCAAUCUAUAAAUCCUUUAGUUGAAUUUCAGACGCCAAAUGUUAUCCCUGAAACUAUUAAUAUAUAUAAUAUAAAUUCAGGUUCAUAUUUACCAACAUCCAAUGAAGGUUUGAUGAAUAGAUUCAAUAUUUUGGAAACUAUUAAACCUGGAUCAUUUAAUACGCCAACUUCAAUUCCCAACCUACCGUCUUCACCACAAUUACCAAUAGUAUUUCCACAAAAUAAUAAUUUUAAUUAUAAUUAUCCGUUAAAAAAUAUUUUCGAAGUGACUGAACCAUAUUACAAGUCAAAUUUAAAUCCUUACUCACCUACUGAUUUGGAACUUUAUGAUUAUUUAUAUCCUCCAAUAGAUACCUCAAUUUAUAAGAAUACUGUAUUUAUAAAAUCUAACUCAGACGAUGGUAAUAUACACAAUAAUUCAAUAAAUUUAACGGAAUCAACAGAAACUGUCACAGAGAGUCCUUCAACCAGCCCUUAUACAAUUCCUUCUAUAUUUGAUUUGCCAAAUGUCAUAUCUCCAAAUGGGUUAACUCUUCCACAAGCACUAAAAUACAACAAAAUUGCUCCAAGUAACUUAGUAGUUCCCGAGAUAGAAAAUUUAUUAUCAACACCGAAUUUGACUAAAUCAAUAAUUGACUUAGGUAAUGUUGUUGCAAAACGAUGGAUAGAAAAUGUAUGGGCCAAAAAGGCCACAUCUGCCUAUACACCUUACAAUCCACUGCUUCCAAUACCCAAAUCUUUACCCCCUAUAUUUGAAACUUUUGUUCCUAAUCCAUACAUUUCACCUUCUAUCUCUCCAGCUAUAUCACCAUCGUCUAUAGCGCCCCCAUUAAUAGCUCCUAUUUCUCCAUCGCCUCCAUUGCCUUCAUCAGUAACAUCUAUUUUCUCACCUAUCAAAGAAACGGAACAGCCAAGCCAGUUAAUUUAUCCUACUUUAUCAACUACACGAAUUCAAAACGACGAAGCUCAAGGAUUUUUCCUGCCACCGUUUUCCCUCACAGACCUUCCUGUCUAUUCCCCUUCAAUAUUACCAACCCCAACUAUAAAUUAUCCGGUAUAUCCUCCUUACACACCAACUCCUCCAAUAAAUUUCCCUCCUGUUCCUCCCCUAUUUCCACCUAUGCCUUCAAUAAUUGAACUGCCGAUUGGAAAAAAGGGUUCUGGAGAUUCGAGAAAGUUGAUAGAAAUUUUGUUACUGGCCAGUUUGUUAAAUAAUAAUGAUUAUUGCAAUGACAGAGGAGCAUUAGAAACACUUAUAGCUUUAAUGUUUGCUACUUAGAAUUGACAUAAACAAUGUGUAUAUUUUGUAAUUGCAUGUUUUUAAAUAAAAUAAGCCAUGUUGGUUUGUCGACAAUAGUUGUCAUUAGAAUAGACUAAGUUGAUAAGAUCGUGGUAUUGUUAUGUGACUGUAUAUUAUAGAUAUUAAUAAAUAUACAUGUAUAAACUGAGGA